rnacentral:misc_RNA from 1 species
GUAAUUUUGAUGGUAUUUUUAAGCAGACAGGGGAUGCUACUAGAGGACCUUCGGUGUUCUGAAAUUAUUGGGUCUCUUGGGUGCCGCCUCCUUCAGAGUGGUUUAAACUCAACGCCGAUGGGGCAAUUGUGCAGUCCAGUAGUUUGGCUUCUGGUAGCGUUUGUGGCGAAUGGGGGCAGAUGCUUAGUGGUUAUGGCAGAGUUGUGGGCUAUUUGGGAAGGUCUUCGGUUAGCUGAGAAGUUUGGGUUUGCCGAGGAUUUAGCUUGAAUGUGAUAACUUGCUGGUAGUUCAGUGCUUGGAGGGGAAGGUUGAAUCGCCACGGAGUGCUUUAGCUCUUGUUUCUCCAUCAGAGCUUUGCUUGAUAAGAGUUGAUGUUUGCGCCUGAACCAUGCUUGGAAGGAAGCGAAUUUCUGUGCAGAUUGCUUAGCUGGUGUUGCCUCUAGUUUUCCCAUUGGAGUCCGUGAGCUCCAGCAUCCUCCACAAUCCUUGCUGCAAUGGCAAUCGCAUGAUCAGUAUGGAGUAGCGUAAUCUCGUUUUAGUUCUUUGUAGUUCUGUGUGUUUCUUUCCCUUCAUUACCCGAAAAAACAAAAUUCUUAGACAAUUUG